CAUUUAUCAGGUGUGCAGCAGUAGCGAUGGGUGAAACAAAGUGCAAGUUGGGAGGAUGAGUCAAGAGGCAAGAUCCUCUGUAGAAAUUCUACUCAGAGGGGAAAUGCCUCGCUAGCAUCCAGCCCCGCCCGGCUCCUGUCUGCUGGGAGACGUCUGCCUGCCUCGUCCCCUUUCAUCAGUGCCAGAGUUUACACGUCACGGAGCAGCACGGCAACGCCUUGAGCUCUACGGUGAAUUCCCACGACGCUCUCACUUCCGCGACAUAAACAGGGCAAGCCACAUUUAUCAUCACCUGAGGCCUCAUCUAUUUUUAUGCAAUGGAAAUUUCACCCGGAGACCCAGAGUGACUUUUCUUUCCAACAAAGGGUCAGUUAAUGGGUGAUUUACCAAACACCAAACACACUCUUUCUCUCUCUGUCUCUCUCUCUGUCUCUCUCUCUGUCUCU